CAUGUAGGUGGAUCAAUAAGUCUGCUGUGAAAGUCGAAGGCUCAACCUUCGAAAGCCGGUGGAUACUGUUGAUCUAGAGUACGGAAGAGGCGAGUGGAAUUCCUGGUGUAGCGAUGGAAUGCGCAGAUAUCAGGAGGAACACCAAUAGCGAAGGCAGCUCGCUGGGACGUUACUGACACUGAGAUGCGAAAAGCGUGGGGAGCAAACA
rnacentral:rRNA from 1 species